rnacentral:lncRNA from 1 species
AUGAAAUGUGGAUUAUUAAAUAUUAGGUCUCUCUCCUCCAAGUCUCUGUUAGUACAUGACUUAAUAAUUGAUCAACAAAUCGAUUUACUCUGCCUUACAGAAACCUGGUUGCAGCCGGAUGAUUAUGUUAGUUUAAAUGAAUCAACACCCCCGAGUCAUUCUAACUACCAGAAACCUCGAAGCACAGGCCGAGGGGGCGGUGUGGCAGCAAUUUUUCACACCAGCCUAUUAAUUAACCAAAGACCAAGACAGACUUUUAAUUCAUUUGAAAGCCUGAUGCUUAGCCUCGUCCACCCCAGCUGUAAAACUCAGAAACCAGUCUUACUUGUUAUCAUCUAUUGUCCACCUGGGCCUUACACAGAGUUUCUCUCUGAUUUCUCAGACUUUUUAUCUGAUUUAGUGCUCAGCUCAGAUAAAAUAAUUAUUGUGGGUGAUUUUAACAUCCAUGUAGAUGCUAAAAAUGACAGCCUCAACAUGGCAUUUAAUCUGUUAUUAGACUCAAUUGGCUUCUCUCAAAAUGUAAAAGAACCCACCCACCACUUUAAUCACACUCUAGAUCUUGUUUUAACAUAUGGCAUAGAAACUGAACAUUUAACAGUGUUUCCUGAAAACCCUCUGCUGUCUGAUCAUUUCCUGAUAACAUUUACAUUUACAAUAAUUGAUUACACAGCAGUGGAGAGUAGACUUUAUCACAGUAGAUGUCUUUCUGAAAGUGCUGUAACUAAGUUUAAGAAUAUAAUCCACCCACUGUUAUCAUCUUCAAUGCCCUGUACUAACAUAGAGCAGAGCAGCUAUCUGAACGCUACUCCAACAGAGGUCGAUUAUCUUGUUAAAGAUUUUACCUCCUCACUACGUACGACUCUGGAUACUGUAGCUCCUGUGAAAACUAAGGCCUCAAAUCCAAAGUCCCUGACUCCGUGGUAUAAUUCUCAAACACGUAGCCUAAAGCAGAUAACUCGUAAGCUGGAGAGGAAAUGGCGUGUCACAAAUUUAGAGGAUCAUCAUUUAGCCUGGAGAAAUAGUUUGCUGCUUUAUAAGAAAGCCCUCCGCAAAGCCAGAACAUCUUACUAUUCGUCACUGAUUGAAGAAAAUAAGAACAACCCCAGGUUUCUCUUCAGCACUGUAGCCAGGCUGACAAAAAGUCAGAGCACUGUUGAGCAGAGAUGGGCAGUAACGCGUUACUUGUAA